rnacentral:rRNA from 1 species
CCUACGGGUGGCUGCAGUGGGGAAUAUUGGACAAUGGGCGGAAGCCUGAUCCAGCCAUGCCGCGUGUGUGAAGAAGGUCUUCGGAUUGUAAAGCACUUUAAGUUGGGAGGAAAGGGCAUUAACCUAAUACGCUAGUGUUUUGACGUUACCGACAGAAUAAGCACCGGCUAACUCUGUGCCAGCAGCCGCGGUAAUACAGAGGGUGCAAGCGUUAAUCGGAAUUACUGGGCGUAAAGCGCGCGUAGGUGGUUUGUUAAGUUGGAUGUGAAAGCCCCGGGCUCAACCUGGGAACUGCAUCCAAAACUGGCAAGCUAGAGUACGGUAGAGGGUGGUGGAAUUUCCUGUGUAGCGGUGAAAUGCGUAGAUAUAGGAAGGAACACCAGUGGCGAAGGCGACCACCUGGACUGAUACUGACACUGAGGUGCGAAAGCGUGGGGAGCAAACAGGAUUAGAUACCCCAGUAGUCAAGGGCGAAUUCCACAGUG